ACAUGCUAGGCAUGACUUGACCAUCACAACCAGUAAGCCAUCGCAGUGUGCAUGUACGGACUGUUCCGCGUACCUUUUAACAAACCGUCAAGAACUUAAUGGAAUAAUUAGCGCAAGCUAUUUCUUUCGACGUUUUAACCUUUUGGGGCAGCACAUGAUUGAUCCCUGCAGACCAGUUUGGCAAAUUAUCCGUAGGUAGGGCUAAUUGGCAAUCCAAUAACAAUGGGCCUCUGCAGACGGGACCUUAUAGGCCAGUGUCUCGCUUAUACAACGAAAGGUCAUUCUUCACUCGAAUUAUUUACAUUGCAUUUUUUGUUUUUGUUUUUGUUUUUGUUUUUUUUUUUAUAUCGAGCGCCUUUCGUACGGCACUGAGUACUGGCCAUUUCGAUGACUCGCAAAUAAACGGGACCGGGCGAAAUGGAAUGAAUUGUUGAACGUGAACGUGCGAUCGAGGCAACGUCACCUGCGAGGACGGCCAGCAAUUUGAUCGUGUAUAAAAGAUCAGUUGCCAUGACGACGGGAGCUGCAGCAAAACUUGGUUAUAGGCCGCUGUUGUUGCAGGCUUUUAUACUCGAUUUAUUAUCGAAUAAUAUUCGGACGAUCGAUAUAAUCCACAAUCAACAAAGAUGAUUACAUGUCUCUUCCAUUUAUUCUUAAACAAUCGAACGAAAAGAAUUAAGUCCAUUUGAUGACAUAAAGACCAAAGUUUGCAUUUCAAGGUGGGUUGCAGGACAAGAUGUUGCCAUUAUGACGAUGCCACUAUACAUACAAUGCUAGCCCAUCCAUAGUAAAUCAGCUCAUAGUUGGAACAAGAGAGUGUGUAAGCAUAUUAUCUAAUCCCCUUAACCAUCUCCCCCGUCUAUCGUUGUUAUCGUCUGUGUUACACGAGACAGCGGCUCUUGUUCGCACGACCCAUCCUCCUCCACCACUACUCCCUACCCUGUCCCGGCGUCGUCCACAAAUGAUCUCCUUUAGCAUUAACUAACUAACCAACAGUAUGCAAUAAUGGACGGUAUACACAGUUGCGUACAGAUUAUUCGCCGCUCCGGACCGAUGCAAGUUUAUGCGAUCGGUCAUGUCCAUCAUCGACGUGGUGGCCAUCUUGCCCUAUUACAUUGGUCUGGACAUCUCCACUGAAAACGACGACAUCCCAGGAAUUAAAUUCUAUCGGAUAUAUAUUGGAUUGUGCUCGCUUGUGUCGAGCGUCAUGUUGCCUUUUAAAUAAACUUCUGCUCCUUUCUUCUUCA